GGCAGAACUGGGGCCGCGGCUAGCGCUCAAGCUCCGCCCCCAGGCUCCUAGCGCCCCUCCCCCCCAAAGCAAACCCCUCUUUUGCGGGGCGCUUCCGGCUGCGCCUAGCCAAAUCCCAGUACUUGUGAGGGUCACGUGUCGCAGGACAGCCCAAUCAGCGUGAUGUGGGAGAAAGAAGAGUCUAUGGAAUCAAAGAACCUGGGAGUCCAGGUCCCUGUACUAUCUUGGGCCUCUGGUUCCUAAUCUGUACAUUGAGGUGAUUGUAAAAUUGCUUUGUGAAAUGUAAAACUUGACAUAAAUCGUUGUCUGGUUUACUUUGGAUAUAUAAAAAUAUUAAUCUU